rnacentral:rRNA from 1 species
GCAGUCGAGCGGUAGCACAGAGAAGCUUGCUUCUUGGGUGACGAGCGGCGGACGGGUGAGUAACGCGUGGGAAUCUACCUGGUAGUGGGGGACAACAGUCGGAAACGACUGCUAAUACCGCAUACGCCCUUUGGGGGAAAGUGGGGGAUCUUCGGACCUCACGCUAUCAGAAGAGCCCGCGUCGGAUUAGCUGGUUGGUGGGGUAAGAGCCCACCAAGGCGAUGAUCCGUAGCUGGUCUGAGAGGAUGACCAGCCACACUGGGACUGAGACACGGCCCAGACUCCUACGGGAGGCAGCAGUGGGGAAUAUUGGACAAUGGGGGCAACCCUGAUCCAGCCAUGCCGCGUGUGUGAAGAAGGCCUUCGGGUUGUAAAGCACUUUCAGCUGUGAGGAAAGGUGAGUGGUUAAUACCCGCUUGCUGUGACGUUAACAGCAGAAGAAGGACCGGCUAACUCCGUGCCAGCAGCCGCGGUAAUACGGAGGGUCCGAGCGUUAAUCGGAAUUACUGGGCGUAAAGCGCGCGUAGGUGGUUCAGUCAGUCAGAUGUGAAAGCCCCGGGCUCAACCUGGGAACUGCACCUGAUACUGCUGAGCUAGAGUACGGUAGAGGGCAGUGGAAUUUCCGGUGUAGCGGUGAAAUGCGUAGAGAUCGGAAGGAACACCAGUGGCGAAGGCGACUGCCUGGACCGAUACUGACACUGAGGUGCGAAAGCGUGGGUAGCAAACAGGAUUAGAUACCCUGGUAGUCCACGCUGUAAACGAUGUCAACUAGCCGUUGGA